UACGAAGGGGGCUAGCGUUGUUCGGAAUCACUGGGCGUAAAGCGCACGUAGGCGGAUUGUUAAGUCGGGGGUGAAAUCCUGAGGCUCAACCUCAGAACUGCCUUCGAUACUGGCAAUCUCGAGUCCGGAAGAGGUUGGUGGAACAGCUAGUGUAGAGGUGAAAUUCGUAGAUAUCGUCAAGAACACCUAUAGCGAAGGCAGCUUACUAGGCUGUAACUGACGCUGAGGCACGAAAGUGUGGGGAUCAAACAGG
rnacentral:rRNA from 1 species